rnacentral:rRNA from 1 species
UACGUAGGGGGCAAGCGUUGUCCGGAAUUAUUGGGCGUAAAGCGCGCGUAGGCGGUUACUCAAGUCGGAUGUGAAAGCCCUCGGCUUAACUGAGGAAGUGCACCCGAAACUGAGUAGCUAGAGUACUAAAGAGGGUCGCGGAAUUCCCGGUGUAGAGGUGAAAUUCGUAGAUAUCGGGAGGAACACCAGCGGCGAAGGCGGCAUCCUGGACUGGUCCUGACACUCAGGAGCGAAAGCGUGGGGAGCGAUCCGG